AACGAACGCUGGCGGCAUGCCUAACACAUGCAAGUCGAACGAGACCUUCGGGUCUAGUGGCGCACGGGUGCGUAACGCGUGGGAAUCUGCCCUUAGGUACGGAAUAACUCAGGGAAACUUGAGCUAAUACCGUAUAAUGACUCCGGUCCAAAGAUUUAUCGCCUAAGGAUGAGCCCGCGUAGGAUUAGCUAGUUGGUGAGGUAAAAGCUCACCAAGGCGACGAUCCUUAGCUGGCUGAGAGGAUGAUCAGCCACACUGGGACUGAGACACGGCCCAGACUCCUACGGGAGGCAGCAGUGGGGAAUAUUGGACAAUGGCGAAAGCCUGAUCCAGCAAUGCCGCGUGAGUGAUGAAGGCCUUAGGGUUGUAAAGCUCUUUUACCCGGGAUGAUAAUGACAGUACCGGGAGAAUAAGCCCCGGCUAACUCCGUGCCAGCCGCCGCAGUAAG
rnacentral:rRNA from 1 species